UACGUAGGGUGCAAGCGUUAUCCGGAAUUAUUGGGCGUAAAGAGCUCGUAGGCGGUUUGUCGCGUCUGCCGUGAAAGUCCGGGGCUCAACUCCGGAUCUGCGGUGGGUACGGGCAGACUAGAGUGAUGUAGGGGAGACUGGAAUUCCUGGUGUAGCGGUGAAAUGCGCAGAUAUCAGGAGGAACACCGGUGGCGAAGGCGGGUCUCUGGGCAGUAACUGACGCUGAGGAGCGAAAGCGUGGGGAGCGAACAGG
rnacentral:rRNA from 1 species